ACGGAAUAGAUACCCAGGUAGUCCACGCCGUAAACGUUGGGCGCUAGGUGUGGGGGCCAUUCCACGGUCUCCGUGCCGCAGCUAAACGCAUUAAGCGCCCCGCCUGGGGAGUACGGCCGCAAGGCUAAAACUACAAAGGAAUUGACGGGGCCCGGCACAAGCGGCGGAGCAUGUUUGCUUAAAUUUCGAUGCAACGCGAAGAACCUUAACCCUAGGCUUGACAUGCACGGAAAUCUCGCAGAGAUGCGGGGUCCGGUAAGGGUCGUGCACAGGUGGUGCAUGGUUGUCGUCAGCUCGUGUCGUGAGAUGUUGGGUUUAAGUCCCGCAACGAGCGCAACCCUCGUCCCAUGUUGCCAGCGGGUUU
rnacentral:rRNA from 1 species